GUAGAACCACCACUUUGAUCUUUUAAACCACCUCCAUCAAGAGCACCACCACCUCCUUGGCUCUAUCUAGUUUUGGUUGAGUUGAGGGGAGGAACUCAAGAAGGAGUCUGAAAGCUAUUAUCAUUCAGUUUGAGUUAAGGGAAGGAAGGAGUCUGAUUACAGGGUAAUGAUUGGAUCAAGUUCAGUUUCAUUAUCAAGCUGCAAGAUGGCAAGUGCAUCUCCC